AACAAGAUCAGCGAGGCCGUCGAGCCGUCCAACCUGUCAUAAUGUUUAUUUUCUUUUCUUUUAUGAGCCGCUGCUGCUGAAAAGUCUCUUCUGGCUGCGAGGUGAACGUUGACAUCAGCUCUGAAGUGGACCUGAUGCUCAUUAAAUCAGAGGAAACAACAGGCUGCAGAGGUAAAUACAGCUGCCGCCCACCACCAACAACAACAAUACACACAAACACACACUCACUCAGUUUCAUUUCUUUAGUCUUCUCCACCGGCUCCAGUGUCAGAGUUCCUGUGUUUACAUAAUGCUUCCUUCUCACUGACAGAGGAGUGAUUGGGAUGUUCACAGAGAACCUCUGGAGUUAUAUAAAUUUAGGUCUUUGAAGGCAUCAUCAGUUUGUUCAGUAAAAUGACUUUUUCAAGCUGCAGCUGCUGCGUCUGCAGGUUUCCUCCUCACAGGGUGCCGCUGUGGUCUCAUGUUUUAUCACAGUAAUAAUAAGCCUCUUAGAUUUACGAUCCCCACCUUGAAUUUAUUCCACAGGAGCUUUUCCUUUUUUUUCCCUCCUAUUAUGUAUUUCUCUCAUAAACACGCCUCACGCUGCUUUACUGUGCGCUCUACUGUAAUUUCCUGCGUCCCCGUCUUGACUUGCAGCAGCUCCAGUGGGUGUGAACUGGUUCGCUUUAAUCUAAGGUGUGUGUGGGUGGGCAAAGGCGAGGUACCGGUCUCUAAGCAGCGUGCUAAUGUUCCAUGACCACCUCACUUUUCACAUGUUUUGAGCUCUAGUUGCCGUUUUCAGAUUUAUUUUGCGGUCCCCUGUCUUUGACAUGUUGUAGGGGUGCUCGAUUUGUGCAAAAAUCAUGAUUGUGAUUAUUUUUACUGAUGUCGAGAUCAUGUUUAUGAAACACAAUCAUGGAUUUAAAUCUGCUCUACAUGUGUUCACAGGAUACAUAAGCUUUGAUUUAAUUUCUUAUUUAACUUUAGUCGUGGAAAAGUGAGUUUUACUCUGAUGCUGCAAGAAUUACGCUGAUACUUCAUCAUGGUUCGGCUUCACGCCCCCGUUUAGUCUGGCAUAUGUUAGUUCGUUGAGUCUCGUUAAUGCUUAGAUCAUCUCUCUAGUAGUAGUCAUUCUCAGUCUUUCAGUCUUAUUUCUGUCUCAGUUUCCAAACCGGGUAAAUUGAGGCCUUAAUUAUUAUAACUUAAACGAAAUGAUAAAGAAAUGAUCAUAAAUGUUCUUCCUUGAGCUGUGUCAUCCCGCUGUAGUCUGUUAUGGGCUGGCCCGAGGUCUCAUUACAAAUAAGCGGCUGCUGGAAGAGAGUAGGUGAGUUGUGUUUAGUCUCUUUGCUAAAGAAAUGAGUCAAAGUUAAAAAGAUGUUUGGUGUCUAGUACUAUGGCUGUGACCCUGUAUGUCCUGUUGAUGAAGUUAGGUGCUGUUCUGAGCAUUAUUUGUGGCUAUAGAGUGGAGUUUUGGUUGAGGUUUGUUUAUGGCUCCUCAGACCGCAGUGUAUUGCUAUCGUGUGGUCGUUACUAAAGUUGGUAUAACUAGAGAAGCAAGCGGUCGGCAACAUUCAUCUCUCAAAGGGGUGUCUAACUCGGUGGUUGUCUUUUAUAUGUAGUUUAUUCCUUGUUUUGUACUUUAGUAUCAUUUUGUGUGUAUUAUCCCUUAUGUUUACUCAUUCCGACGGUCAUUUCUGUGUUUCCUGUUUUGUUUUGGAGUCCUUUUCCCCAGCAUGUAGAGUCAUCAGUCUCGCCUGUUGAUGCUAAACAAAAAUACCCAAUGUAAAGAUUAGAGAAGUCUGAGCCCCAUCUUAGUAGAUCAGACUAAAACUCUUAUCUUGAAGUUACAGAGGAGAGGAAGAACUUCCUUUAACAGGCAGAAACCUCGAGCAGGACCAGACUCACGUAAGACAACCAUCUAUUUCAGAAGCUUUAACAUUAUACCAGCAGCUCUGAUUGACUUCAUUUUCAGUCCUCAGCACAGAUUGAUAAUCUCGUCCUCCUCGCAGUAAUUAACCGUGGAGUUGAUUAACUUCUUCUAUCUGUGACGCCUCGGCAUUAUCAGCUGUUUGUUUACUGAUCUGAUUAUCACAGACGCAGUAUCAUAUUAAUGAAGGGAAGGCCUUCGCUCACAGUCCAGUGUGUUUUUCUUUUCUUUCUGUGUGUGUGGCUUGAGUUACCGUUAAUUGUCGUCAUGGAAAUGUUGUUUCUUUUUGUCGGUCGGGGAUGGAAGUUAAAUUAGCUCUCAUGUUACAUGAGCACUCAGCUGCAGGGACGUCCCGGAGGAGAGGGAAAGUGGCAUCGAUGGUUUUAUACCAGAAAUUACACAAGUAACAAGCUGCUUUCUCUGACCAACAACGGUUCUUAUCUCUCUUUGUCACACACACAAACACACUCAUAAUUUUAUAUUUAUUCAUGAUAAUGACACGGCAUAAUUCGUGUUCUCAAUCGGCUCCUUUUCAGAUUCAUCAGGGUCAUAAAUCCUUCAGUGAAGUUCAGGUUAAACUUAAAAUAGUUUUUCUAAUCUACAUAUUAAAUUUGAUUUAGUUUAAACAAAGUUAAAGUACUCACAUCACCAAUAAGGUCUUCCAGUGAGCUCCCCCUACAGGCCUGGAGUACUACUUGCAACACUUUUUCUACUUUUCAGACUUGAGUCUUGACUUAGAACGGUCGUUUGAUUAAAUGUUGAAUUUGUCAGGUAUGGUACUUUGUCAAUCCAGCUCUUCCCUGCAAAUAUCAGAUAUCUGAUGUGCUAAAAUAACAACCUACUGAAGUGCUUUUCCAUCAAAAUAAAUUAAGAGAAAUUCUGGCAAAACAUUUAUUUUUCUUUAUGGUAAAAAUGAACAUAUUUGUCAGUCUUGUCCUGGAAAAUAUUUGCUGUUUUGCAAAGGUUGACAGAAAUGUUAUUAUCAUAUUAUUAUUAUUAUUAUUAUUAUUAUUAUUAUUAUUAUUAUUAUUAUUAUUAUUAUUAUUACUGUUACUAUCAUUAUUAUUUUAUUAUUAUUAUUAUUAUUAUUAUUAUUAUUAUUAUUAUUAUUAUUAUUAUUAUUAUUACUGUUACUAUCAUUUUUAUUUUAUUAUUUUAUUAUUAUUAUUAUUAUUACUGUUACUAUCAUUAUUUUAUUAUUAUUAUUAUUAUUAUUAUUAUUGUUGUUGUUGUUGUUAUUAUUAUUACUGUUUUUGUUAUUACUGUUUUUGUUAUUAUUAUUUUAUUAUUAUUAUAAUUUUUACUGUUGCUGUUAUUAUUAUAUAGUGUAGUAGUAGUAGUUGUUAAAAUUGAGCUAUGUUUCUGUCUUGAAUAUUGAAUUAAUUCCUCGUAUUUCAGCACAUAAGCCUCUUUGUUGUAAAUCAGACUUUUCUCUGUUUAGCUGAAGAGGACGAUGUCAGCAUCCAGAGCUGCUUUUCUGGUUGUUGUUGUUGUUUUUUCUAUAUCAGUUUCGUUUUGUACUUUUCUUCUUUAGCCCUGAAGCUACCUGACUAACAAACUGUGUCUGACUCCCAAACUCAUGUUGGUACAGAACAAACACUUUCCAGCACAUUAAAGAUGAAUCUCUCUCUUCAUUUCAGAGCUGAGAUGAGCUCUCUUCGCUGCGCUCCCCGGCUGAGGUGAGAAUUAUCAUAAACUCUAAUGUCUUCAUGUGUAUAAUUUCUGACCUUUGUCUCAUUAAAAAUCUCACCGCUCUUCAGACUCCACACUGUCUGACUCAAAAAACACCGAAAACAAUCCAAGAGCGGACAUUAAGAGUCUCCGUCUCACUUAAACACUCAUCUACAUCCAGCAGAGGCUGUUUGUCUCAGAGUCCAAAUGAUCCGAGUGAGUAACCCUGUUCGAGAAGAAACGACUCAUUUUAAUGACCGUCAGAUACUCGGAGUUUGGCCAGAAAGGAAAUAACUUCACCAACAUCUUAUUGAGAGACUUUGUCAGACCAGACAAGAGCAAACGAACUUCAGGUUUAGAGAUCAAAUUAAGAAAACAUCCUGGUUCUCCUUAAAACCUAACAAAAUAUUGACCUUUCCUGGAGAUAGGCACAGUUUGUUAAACAACCUGAUUGAACUUUGAUUACAGUUAAUCAGUUUAAAUUGGCAGAUUAACUUUAUUUGGGUUUUAAAUUUUAAAUUUCCUGUUUCAGUCAUUUCUGGUGAGUCUCAGUUUCGCUGUAAAAAGUGAAACUGAAUAGAAGUCUGCAGUUUUCUUCUGUAACAUCAUAAAGGACUUUUUCAGAGUAAAUAAGUCGAGCUUUGUCAGGUCAGUCCUGAAAAGAAGAAGAAAACACUUUUUUUCUUUCUUUCUUUUUUUUCUCUUUCUUUUUUUUUUGGUUUAAACAUAUCUUUAUUGGUUUUUGUAUUCAUACAACAACAUCCAACAAUUUAAACAUAUGGCAGUUACGAAAAUAUCUAAUAAAAAUUCAAUCCUACAAAAGAGGUAAAUAAUUAAAAUGUCCUGAUAAAAUAAAUAAAUUAAAAAAUUAGAAAAAAAUUGAACUGACAAAGUACUGAGCAAAAAAUAGUUUUUUAAAUCAUUUAAAAUAAUAGCAAUAAAAAUCUAUUACUUUUAUUAUUAUUAUAACAAGACUUGUAAAGAUCUCGAAUAAUACAUUUUUUAUUAUCAUUAUCAUUAUUAUUAUUAUUAAUAAUAAUAAUAAUAAUAAUAAUGAUUUGUUCUGCCUGUUUUUGCUCUCCAUACCGACUCUCUUUCCUGCAUGAUUGGCCGAUAUAAACAUAUAAUGAACUGAGUUUUUCCACUGUCCUGGUUUUUGUUCAGAUUUUAUAGAAAGAGUUAACGACAUCAUGACAGGAAUGAUAACCUAUAAAAAUCCUCUAUACCACCUCACAGAACGCUUCAAUUUAAACAUCAUAUUCUUAGAUAAAUGUUUGGUAGUAAUUACCAACCAUCCAACUUCACAAAGAAACAUUUUAAUGUGAGUAAUACGCACUCCUAAUAACUGUUAUCAAAAGAGCACAAAGAGGUAACAAAGGAACCAAUUAAACGGCUCACAGCGGCGCGGAGGAGAGGAGGUUCUGCACAGAUUGCAGCGAGCGGAGAGAGAGCUGUUAUUUUAGCCCGGCUAUAAUCAAAGUGAUCAACAGACAGACCUGCUGAGUUAGAAACUGACAUGUCUUUAACCCCGGCUGCAGACACCAGACUGACAGAUACAACGAGGAGGAACAGGAGAGACGCUUCUGCUAAUUUGUUUUAUUUUCAGACUCGUGCGCAUCGCUGUGAGGCCUAAUCAAAGAAACAAAGAGGCUCUGAAUGGAGCAGAAAACAAGAAGAAGAAAGCAGGAAGCAGCUUUAGUGAAUUAAUGAGGCCUGACUAAUUGGGUAUUCAGCGGAUCUAAGCCCUUUGGCAAACAGGUCAUAUUCAGAGUUCGGCUUAAUCCGAGCCGUUGACCUCGGCAUAAUGAGAAACCAAAAUAUGCAGAAAAGAAGAAGAGUCCAGAUUUGCAUUAAAUACAUAAAACUGGAAUGAUAGUGUCACUUCAAUAAAUCCUCAAAGACGACUCCCUCAACACGAACCUGUUUAUCAUCAAUACAGCACACACACACAUGUGUCACAUGACUUUAUGUACCACAUAAAUUCAUCUUGGACUCUGUCACAUAGCAACACUGUGGUAUCCAUAGAAACGGAAUUAAACUUCAAACCCCGGUUAUUUAAGUCUUCUCAUUGAGGAUACGAACUCCUUUAAAUAGGAGUGGAUAAUUUUGCCCUGAACCUCGUGUUCGAGUUGACUCUAUUUGAGGAUCUGUCCAUGAAAGUCAAAUUAAAGAAAUUCAAAGAAUAUCUCCUCCUCCUCCUCGACGACACAAGUGUCUGUGUCACAUCUCCUACGAGAGGAAAAGUUCAGCCCUGACCUUGGGAACAGGAACUGAAUAUGAUGUCUGGUUUAUUCUCGGCUCUCUGGAAUCACAUGAUCCUCAUCAGGAGGUCUUCGGUUUAUGAAUUAAAUUGAAGAACUCUGAGCGAAUAAAAACUGCUGUUUAGUAACUGCUAAACAUGGAAGCACAAUGCUCUUUGUAUGAGCUUUUGGGAGUAUAAAACAGUCCUGGGAUCUCAUUGAAUAAUUUUUCAGCUCUUUUCUGUGUGAUAAAAACACAAAGACAGUGAAGUAGCAGGUCAAGAGAUGCUUCAUAAAUAAAGGUGUACCAAUGUAUUAAUAAUAAUAAUAAUAAUAAUAAUAAUUCAUUUUAUUUGUACAGCGCUUUUAAAAACACUCAAAGACGCUUUACAUGGUACGUAAAAAUUCAAGAUAAUAAGACAAAGACAUAAAAACAGUAAGAUGGACGAAACAGUUAAAUAUUAAAAGCAAUUUUAAAUAAGUGAGUUUUUAAAAGGGAUUUAAAAGUAGUGGGGUCAGGGCAGUGUCUGAUGGAGGGAGGUAGCGAGUUCCAAAGGGUAGGGGCAGCUGUGGAGAAUGCCCGAUCCCCCCAAGUUCGGUGCUUGGGUCGUGACAGUGGGGUGAGAAGAUGGGCAGAGGAGGAACGGAGGUUACGGGGGGGUACAUGAGGCUGGAGUAGGUCGGUGAGAUAAGAAGGGGCUUGAUGAUGAAGGGCUUUGUGGGUGAGAAGGAGGAUCUUGAACAUGAUGCGUUGCUGAUGCGUCUUAGACAGAGAUGGACGUGCAAACACAGUGAGGUCAGAUAGAGGUUCCAACUGAGCAUUUUUUAGUCUAAAAGAGGUCGAAUAGAUGUCUAAUAAUAAUAAUAUUUUUUAAUUUAUUUAUUAUAAUAUUAUUAUUAUAUAUAAUUAUUUAUAAUAAUUAUUUUGGUAAAGUACUUGGAGAUCAGUUAUGCUACUCACACAGUUGGUUUUUGAAAUAAAUCAAAUAAUGGGUUAAAGUGAAUGUCUAAACUCCGUCUAAAAAUAUAAAGAAUCUAAACGGUUGAAAUUAGGUCUUAAAAAAAAACUAGAUGUCUAAUAGCCGUCUGCAGAUGCAAGAGAUCACCACAGUCCAGGAGGAGGGAAUAAAAUCAGCUACAAGGAAAAUUUUCUCAGUAAAAAAUACGACUAUGAAAAACAAAAUUCAGUUUCAGCCUCUGUUUUCUCACCAGGUUCAGCUCAUGUUGUUUAAAAUUUAGCGAGUCAUCACCAUAGAUGAUAUAUGCUAUGCACAACUUGGCUCCGCUUUCUGUCAUAUACGAAUUUGAAGCCGAAUUGCUCUCUGUAUUUCCGUGUUUUUUCUCCAUUUCCUGGAACCACCAGUUUCACGGUAGCGUUGUACAUAUUCGGUGGGAGAGUCACUGUGACGACUCUGCCAAAACAGUGUAUACCCCGAGUGAGCUACGCAAUCUUUGCACGCUCAUAAGCUACAUCUAUGAAAGCUUGACUUGUCCAACUAUAAGCAAGAGCAAAGUAAGCACUAAAAUAACUUUCGUAGAUGUAGCCAUCUUGUUCCCGCCUCCGAUUUUGCUUUUUUCCGAUUUGGUUACUAAAACGCUAAUUUCUAAAGUUUGUCCUCGGCUCCAUAGGGAUUGCUGGAGGAGGCGGGGUUUAUGACCUAUACUGCAGCCUGUCACCAGAGGGUGCUGUUCUCACCGUGGCUUCACCCAAUGAGGAGGCAGACGGCGUCCAUUCCAUAUACAGUCU
rnacentral:lncRNA from 1 species